GUGUCAGCCGCCGCGGUAAGACAGAGGGUGCGAGCGUUGUUCGGAAUCAUUGGGCGUAAAGGGCGCGUAGGCGGCUUGGCAAGUUGGAUGUGAAAGCCCCGGGCCUAACCCGGGAAGUGCAUCCAAAACUGCUUUGCUUGAGUCCUGGAGAGGGUGGUGGAAUUCCCAGUGUAGAGGUGAAAUUCGUAGAUAUUGGGAGGAACACCCGUGGCGAAGGCGGCCACCUGGACAGAGACUGACGCUGAGGCGCGAAAGCGUGGGGAGCAAACAGGAUUAGAAACCCGUGUAGUCC
rnacentral:rRNA from 1 species